CCUACUUUGUUCCUCCUUCUUUCCUCUUUCUCCCUUUUUUCCACCCUUAAUCAGCAACGCCGCGUGGAGGAUGAAGGUUUUCGGAUUGUAAACUCCUUUUGUUAGAGAAGAUAAUGACGGUAUCUAACGAAUAAGCACCGGCUAACUCCGUGCCAGCAGCCGCGGUAAUACGGAGGGUGCAAGCGUUACUCGGAAUCACUGGGCGUAAAGAGCGCGUAGGCGGGAUAGCAAGUCAGAUGUGAAAUCCUAUGGCUUAACCAUAGAACUGCAUUUGAAACUGUUAUUCUAGAGUAUGGGAGAGGUAGGUGGAAUUCUUGGUGUAGGGGUAAAAUCCGUAGAGAUCAAGAGGAAUACUCAUUGCGAAGGCGACCUGCUAGAACAUAACUGACGCUGAUGCGCGAAAGCGUGGGGAGCAAACAGGAUUAGAUACCCUUGUAGUC
rnacentral:rRNA from 1 species